CGCCCCUAAUGGUGGUUCUAAUGAUAAUGGUGGUGAUGAUGAUGUUGGUGAUGAUGGCGAUAUGUUGGUUCUGGUGAUAGUGACGGUAGUGGUGGUGAUGAUGAUGGUAGUGAUGAUUGUGGUGAUAAUGAUGGGCCAGGUGGUAAUGAUGGUGAUCGUGGGAUGGUGGUGUUUUCGCGCACAUUUUACAAAACCAGUAACACGAUAAAGGCGCUGGGGCCUUGGUAUUACAACAGACACAGAUUAGAGGAUCUUGCAAUCUGUGACACUGCAUGUCACAAAUUAGAGGAUUAGCCGAAAGCUCGUCAAUAAAAAUAAUUUGGCAAGAAAACGUCUCAAUUUUAAUAUGCAUGCUAUUAUAUACCAAAACUUUUAAAUAGUACUUAUAAAGGCCUCGUUGUGGAAAUGCGGUCCUUGAAUGGUCAAUUGCCGUGACUGCCAAUUACCAUGGUGUUCAUGCAGCCAAACGGCAUGCGCGAU